GUGCACCAGUCGCGAAACCUCCGCAAUACACGAAAGUGUGACGGGGCCAUCCCGAGUGCCGUCCGCUGAGGACGGCUUUUCCUCAGUGUACAUAGCUGGGGGAAUAAGGAGAGGGCAAGCCUGGUGUCAGCCGCCGCGGUAAUACCAGCUCUCCGAGUGGUGGGGACGCUUAUUGGGCCUAAAGCAUCCGUAGCCGGCUGGGCAAGUCCUCCGUUAAAUCCAACGAUUCAAUCGUUGGGCUGCGGGGGAUACUGUCCAGCUUGGGGGCGGGAGAGGCCGACGGUAUUCCCGGGGUAGGGUGAAAUCCUAUAAUCCCGGGAGGACCACCAGUGGCGAAGGCUGUCGGCUAGAACGCGCCCGACGGUGAGGGGUGAAAGCGUGGGGGAGCGAACCGGAUUAGA
rnacentral:rRNA from 1 species